GUCCCCGUCGUCUAGAGGCCCAGGACGCGACCCUUUCAAGGUCGAGACACGGAUUCGAAUUCCGUCGGGGGCACCA
rnacentral:tRNA from 1 species